rnacentral:lncRNA from 1 species
AUAACUCCUUCCCUCAUUUGCUAAUUAUUUGCAAUAAUUAUCAAAUUUAUUGUCUAUCCUUACAUACGUGUGCAUCAAUACCAUGAUUCAAUCCAACUUCUUCCAUUAGUUUCCUCUUUUGUUUAAUACUUUCAAUAAUGACAUCAUAAAAUUCUUUUUUAGAAAUUUUUAAAAUCUUCUUUAAUGUAAAUUCAACCUUAGCAUUGAAUAUAUGUUCUUUAAGCACUCCCUUU